UGACAGCCCCGUACACAAAAGCGCAUGUGCUGUGAGCUCGAUGAGUAGGGCGGGACACGUGGUAUCCUGUCUGAAUAUGGGGGGACCAUCCUCCAAGGCUAAAUACUCCUGACUGACCGAUAGUGAACCAGUACCGUGAGGGAAAGGCGAAAAGAACCCCGGCGAGGGGAGUGAAAAAGAACCUGAAACCGUGUACGUACAAGCAGUGGGAGCACAGGUUUACCUGUGUGACUGCGUACCUUUUGUAUAAUGGGUCAGCGACUUAUAUUCUGUAGCAAGGUUAACCGAAUAGGGGAGCCGGAGGGAAACCGAGUCUUAAUUGGGCGUUAAGUUGCAGGGUAUAGACCCGAAACCCGGUGAUCUAGCCAUGGGCAGGUUGAAGGUUGGGUAACACUAACUGGAGGACCGAACCGACUAAUGUUGAAAAAUUAGCGGAUGACCUGUGGCUGGGGGUGAAAGGCCAAUCAAACCGGGAGAUAGCUGGUUCUCCCCGAAAGCUAUUUAGGUAGCGCCUCGUGAAUUCAUCUCCGGGGGUAGAGCACUGUUUCGGCUAGGGGGCCAUCCCGGCUUACCAACCCGAUGCAAACUGCGAAUACCGGAGAAUGUUAUCACGGGAGACACACGGCGGGUGCUAACGUCCGUCGUGAAGAGGGAAACAACCCAGACCGCCAGCUAAGGUCCCAAAGUCAUGGUUAAGUGGGAAACGAUGUGGGAAGGCCCAGACAGCCAGGAUGUUGGCUUAGAAGCAGCCAUCAUUUAAAGAAAGCGUAAUAGCUCACUGGUCGAGUCGGCCUGCGCGGAAGAUGUAACGGGGCUAAACCAUGCACCGAAGCUGCGGCAGCGACGCUGAUGCGUUGUUGGGUAGGGGAGCGUUCUGUAAGCCUGCGAAGGUGGCCUGUGAGGGUUGCUGGAGGUAUCAGAAGUGCGAAUGCUGACAUAAGUAACGAUAAAGCGGGUGAAAAGCCCGCUCGCCGGAAGACCAAGGGUUCCUGUCCAACGUUAAUCGGGGCAGGGUGAGUCGACCCCUAAGGCGAGGCCGAAAGGCGUAGUCGAUGGGAAACGGGUUAAUAUUCCCGUACUUGGUGUUACUGCGAAGGGGGGACGGAGAAGGCUAUGUUGGCCGGGCGACGGUUGUCCCGGUUUAAGCGUGUAGGUGUGUGUUCCAGGUAAAUCCGGUU
rnacentral:rRNA from 1 species